AACGAACGCUGGCGGCAUGCCUAACACAUGCAAGUCGAACGAGACCUUCGGGUCUAGUUGCGCACGGGUGCGUAACGCGUGGGAACCUGCCCUUAGGUUCGGAAUAACUCCCCGAAAGGGGUGCUAAUACCGGUUAAUGUCUUCGGACCAAAGAUUUAUCGCCUUUGGAUGGGCCCGCGUUGGAUUAGCUAGUUGGUAGGGUAAAAGCCUACCAUGGCGACGAUCCAUAGCUGGUGUGAGAGGAUGAUCAGCCACACUGGGACUGAGACACGGCCCAGACUCGUACGGGAGGAAGCAGUGGGGAAUAUUGGACAAUGGGCGAAAGCCUGAUACAGCAAUGCCGCGUGAGUGAUGAAGGCCUUAGGGUUGUAAAGCUCUUUUACCCGGGAUGAUAAUGACAGUACCGGGGGAAUAAGCCCCGGCUAACUCCGUG
rnacentral:rRNA from 1 species